AGCACCGAAUCCCGCGGCCGAUAUCGGGCGCCGGGAAAUGUGGUGUUAGGGAGGAUCCGUUUAUCCCGAGGUCGGUCGGCGCGUCCAAGUCCUUCUUGAACGGGGCCACAGCCCAUAGAGGGUGCCAGGCCCGUAGCGACCGUCGCCGAUCGCGGGAGGAUCUCUCCUCAGAGUCGGGUUGCUUGAGAGUGCAGCCCUAAGUGGGUGGUAAACUCCAUCUAAGGCUAAAUAUGACCACGAGACCGAUAGCGAACAAGUACCGUGAGGGAAAGUUGAAAAGCACUUUGAAGAGAGAGUUCAAGAGUACGUGAAACCGUUCAGGGGUAAACCUGAGAAACCCGAAAGGUCGAAAGGGGAAAUUCAUUCGCGUUUCGACCGUCGAAGCGAGACGUUCGAGUGACGGACGGCGUACGCGUCGACCGCACCUUACGUUUCGUCUUGUUCGGCGUCGAACGUGUGCACUUUUCCCCUAGUAGGACGUCGCGAUCCGUUGGGUGUCGGUUUAAGGCUCGCGCUGGAGACCGGGAGCACGUCCUCGCGGACGUUUCGCUCCCGGACACGCGGUGUUCCCGACCGACUCGCUCGACGGUAUACAGAUGGCGCGGGGCCGCUACUCAGUUAGCGUUCGGCCCGCGGCAAGCGCGUUCGGUGUUGGUGGCGAUCGGACCUGGUGCCGGUUCCGUCCACGAACGACUGUUGGCCGCGGUGUUCUCGAACAGACCCCGUUACGAAACGCCGAUCUGCGACGCUAUAGCUUUGGGUACUUUCAGGACCCGUCUUGAAACACGGACCAAGGAGUCUAGCAUGUGCGCGAGUCAUUGGGACAUAACUAAACCUAAAGGCGCAAUGAAAGUGAAGGUCCGUCUUGCGCGGACCGAGGGAAGAUGAGCRG
rnacentral:rRNA from 1 species